CCCCAUCUUUCCUUCCUUUUCUUUAAACAAAGCGUAGUAUAUAUACCUUCAGUGUACAUCCUAUAGUGGUGUUGCAUUCCUGGCACACGGAGUCAUACGAAAUAAAUAACAUAAAAUCUUUAGAGGCGUUUAUACGGUUAUUGGAUACUGCAAUCUUUAGUCCAGCGGCUGUUACUCCUUCGCUACCAUAGUCACCGAAAUUAACAGGUGAUUCUGGGAGUGAACAUUUCACUUCAGCGAGAUCUUUCAUCAAUCCAGGGUACAACGAGAUAGUGUUACUAGGCUUCCACACCGAUUCAAUAACCUUG